rnacentral:rRNA from 1 species
ACGGUGAGUAACACGUAUCCAACCUGCCCUUUACUCGGGGAUAGCCUUUCGAAAGAAAGAUUAAUACCCGAUAGUAUAAUGAUUCCGCAUUGGUUUCAUUUAUUAAAGGGGAUUCCGGUAAACGAUGGGGAUGCGUUCCAUUAGGUAGUAGGCGGGGUAACGGCCCACCUAGCCGACGAUGGAUAGGGGUUCUGAGAGGAAGGUCCCCCACAUUGGAACUGAGACACGGUCCAAACUCCUACGGGAGGCAGCAGUGAGGAAUAUUGGUCAAUGGGCGAGAGCCUGAACCAGCCAAGUAGCGUGAAGGAUGAAGGUCCUACGGAUUGUAAACUUCUUUUAUACGGGAAUAAAGUAUCCUACGUGUAGGAUUUUGUAUGUACCGUAUGAAUAAGCAUCGGCUAACUCCGUG